rnacentral:rRNA from 1 species
UAGGGAAUUUUCGUCAAUGGGGGAACCCUGAACGAGCAAUGCCGCGUGUGUGAAGAAGGUCUUCGGAUCGUAAAGCACUGUUGUAAGUGAAGAAUGCCAUAUAGAGGAAAUGCUAUGUGGGUGACGGUAGCUUACCAGAAAGCCACGGCUAACUACGUGCCAGCAGCCGCGGUAAUACGUAGGUGGCAAGCGUUAUCCGGAAUCAUUGGGCGUAAAGGGUGCGUAGGUGGCACGAUAAGUCUGAAGUAAAAGGCAAACAGCUCAACUGUUGUAUGCUUUGGAAACUGUCGAGCUAGAGUGCAGAAGAGGGCGAUGGAAUUCCAUGUGUAGCGGUAAAAUGCGUAGAUAUAUGGAGGAACACCAGUGGCGAAGGCGGUCGCCUGGUCUGUAACUGUCACUGAUGCACGAAAGCGUGGGGAGCAAAUAGGAUUAGAUACC